AAGCGCCCCUUUAGCUUUAGUCCCAGUUGUAAAAGCUCAAAAAAAUUCCACCGACGCUCCUCCUUUAGUCCCGGUUGGAAAUUCCAAUGAGAAUAAAAGACCUCCCCUUUUGUCCCAGUUGGUAAUUUCAACCGGUUUUGUUGUGAUUGGUAAUUCCAACUGGGAUAAAAGGAAAACCUUUUGUCCCGGUUGGAAUUUUCAACCGGACAAAAGGUCCCUUCCCACGCACCCAUCCUUAUCUUUGUCUCCACCUCCUCUCCCAUUCUUCGAGACACCUUAUCCUUUUCCUUUCC
rnacentral:lncRNA from 1 species